AGAGUUUGAUCAUGGCUCAGAACGUACGCUGGCGGCACGCCUAACACAUGCAAGUCGAACGAAGUAGCAAUACUUAGUGGCAGACGGGUGAGUAACAUGUGGGUAUCUGCCCUUUGGCCUGGAAUAACACGAGGAAACUUGUGCUAAUACCGGAUAAGUCUUUACAGAGAAAGCUUUAUGCACCAAUGGAUGAGCCUGCACUUGAUUAGUUUGUUGGUGGGGUAAUGGCCUACCAAGACUGUGAUCAAUAGCUGAUUUGAGAGGAUGAUCAGCCACAUUGGGACUGAGACACGGCCCAAACUCCUACGGGAGGCAGCAGUGGGGAAUCUUGCACAAUGGAGGAAACUCUGAUGCAGCGAUGCCGCGUGAGUGAAGAAGGCCUUUGGGUUGUAAAGCUCUUUCGUCGGGGAAGAAAAUGACUGUACCCGAAUAAGAAGGUCCGGCUAACUUCGUGCCAGCAGCCGCGGUAAUACGAAAGGGACCUAGCGUAGUUCGGAAUUACUGGGCUUAAAGAGUUCGUACGUGGUUGAAAAAGUUGGUGGUGAAAUCCCAGAGCUUAACUCUGGAACUGCCAUCAAAACUUUUCAGCUAGAGUAUGAUAGAGGAAAGCAGAAUUUCUAGUGUAGAGGUGAAAUUCGUAGAUAUUAGAAAGAAUACCAAUUGCGAAGGCAGCUUUCUGGAUCAUUACUGACGCUGAGGAACGAAAGCAUGGGUAGCGAAGAGGAUUAGAUACCCUCGUAGUCCAUGCCGUAAACGAUGUGUGUUAGACGUUGGAAAUUUAUUUUCAGUGUCGCAGCGAAAGCAAUAAACACACCGCCUGGGGAGUACGACCGCAAGGUUAAAACUCAAAUGAAUUGACGGGGACCCGCACAAGUAGUGGAGCAUGUGGUUUAAUUCGAAGAUACGCGCAGAACCUUACCAACACUUGACAUGUUCGUCGCGACUUUAAGAGAUUAAAGUUUUCGGUUCGGCCGGACGAAACACAGGUGCUGCAUGGCUGUCGUCAGCUCGUGUCGUGAGAUGUUGGGUUAAGUCCCGCAACGAGCGCAACCCUCACUUUUAGUUGCCAUCAUUAAGUUGGGCACUCUGAAAGAACUGCCAGUGAUAAGCUGGAGGAAGGUGGGGAUGACGUCAAGUCCUCAUGGCCCUUACGUGUUGGGCUACACACGUGCUACAAUGGUAUCUACAACAGGAAGCAAAACUGCGAGGUUAAGCAAAUCCUUAAAAGAUACCUCAGUUCGGAUUGCACUCUGCAACUCGAGUGCAUGAAGCUGGAAUUACUAGUAAUCGUGGAUCAGCGUGCCACGGUGAAUGCGUUCCCGGGUCUUGUACACACCGCCCGUCACACCAUGGGAGUUGGUUCUACCUUAAGGCAAGGUUUAAAACCCUUGACCACGGUAUAGUCAGCGACUGGGGUGAAGUCGUAACAAGGUAGCCGUA
rnacentral:rRNA from 1 species